GGCCGCGGAAACCCGUGCAAAGGUAGCAUAAUCAUUUGCCCUCUAAUUAAGGGCUUGUAUGAACGGAUAAACGAGAAAUUCCCUGUCUCUAAAGCAACAAUAAAAACUAUCCUUUAUGUGAAAAGACAUAAAUUACAAUAGUAGACAAGAAGACCCUACUGCACUUAAUUACUAUUGAACGUUUUUACAAUCUACCUAAUUUCGUUGGGGCGACACUGGAUUCCCCUAAUCAUCCAACCCCAAAAAGGAUAACAAUCCCCAUAAAUUGACCCUAAAAAGAUUCAAGAACAAGCCACCAUAGGGAUAACAGGCCAAUCCCCUCCUAGAGCCCCAAUCGACGAGGGGGGUGGCACCUCGAUGUGGCUUAGGGUAUCAUACAGGCGC
rnacentral:rRNA from 1 species